UUUGUUUUUUAAUUUAAAACUAGAAUGAAAGGUUUAACGUUUUAACUUCCUUAUUAUUUAUAUCUAUUUAAUUUAUAUUAAAUAUAAAAAGAUAUUUAUUUAAUAUUUAGACGACAAGACCCUAUUGAACUUAAUUUAAAUUUAGCUGGGGCAGCUAAUUAAUUAAAAUUUUAAGUUACUUUACAAAAAUCCAAUAAAAUUGAAUUAAUCAAGUUACCAUAGGGAUAACAGCAUAAUUUAAAUUUUAAGAUCAUAUUAAAAUUGAAUCUUAUGACCUCGAUGUUGAAUUAAAAUUACUUUAUAUAGUGCAGUAACUAUAAAAGUAGGUCUGUUCGACCUUUAAUAUUUUACAUGAUUUGAGUUCAAACCGGUGUAAACCAGGUUGGUUUCUAUCUAAUUAAUUAUUUAUCUAGUACGAAAGGACAAAUAAAUAUAUUAAUUAAAUUAGCAAAUAAUUGCAAUAGAUUUAGAAUCUACUCCUACUUUA
rnacentral:rRNA from 1 species